CGUACACUCCUACGGGAGGCAGCAGUGGGGAAUAUUGCACAAUGGGCGCAAGCCUGAUGCAGCCAUGCCGCGUGUAUGAAGAAGGCCUUCGGGUUGUAAAGUACUUUCAGCGGGGAGGAAGGCGAUAAGGUUAAUAACCUUGUUGAUUGACGUUACCCGCAGAAGAAGCACCGGCUAACUCCGUGCCAGCAGCCGCGGUAAUACGGAGGGUGCAAGCGUUAAUCGGAAUUACUGGGCGUAAAGCGCACGCAGGCGGUCUGUCAAGUCGGAUGUGAAAUCCCCGGGCUCAACCUGGGAACUGCAUUCGAAACUGGCAGGCUAGAGUCUUGUAGAGGGGGGUAGAAUUCCAGGUGUAGCGGCGAAAUGCGUAGAGAUCUGGAGGAAUACCGGUGGCGAAGGCGGCCCCCUGGACAAAGACUGACGCUCAGGUGCGAAAGCGUGGGGAGCAAACAGGAUUAGAAACCCUAGUAGUCCCA
rnacentral:rRNA from 1 species